rnacentral:rRNA from 1 species
UUUAAUUGAAGAGUUUGAUCAUGGCUCAGAUUGAACGCUGGCGGCAGGCCUAACACAUGCAAGUCGAGCGGUAACAGAAAGUAGCUUGCUACUUU